GAUGAAGAACGUAGCAAAAUGCGAUAAGUAAUGUGAAUUGCAGAAUUCAGUGAAUCAUCGAAUCUUUGAACGCACAUUGCGCCCGCCAGUAUUCUGGCGGGCAUGCCUGUUCGAGCGUCAUUUCAACCCUCAAGCACAGCUUGGUGUUGGGACUCGCGUUAAUUCGCGUUCCUCAAAUUGAUUGGCGGUCACGUCGAGCUUCCAUAGCGUAGUAGUAAAACCCUCGUUACUGGUAAUCGUCGCGGCCACGCCGUUAAACCCCAACUUCUGAAUGUUGACCUCGGAUCAGGUAGGAAUACCCGCUGAACUUAAGCAUAUCAAUAAGCGGAG
rnacentral:misc_RNA from 1 species